GUUGUGUGUGUGUGUGUGUGUCUCAAGGAUAGUGAAGGUGGAGAGGCGCAACCUGAGACGUCCCCCUCCGGUCCCACAGAGGAUGACAGAUUAGUCCUUAUUCAGCACGGAGCCACGAAACACCCCGAGGAUCAGAUGUUGUCCACAGCUCAGCAGAUGCUGCAGGAUAGCCGCUCCAAGAUCGAGCUGAUCCGACUGCAGAUUAUCAAAGUCACCCAGGCUGGCAGCAGCGGCGGCGGCGGCGGAGGAGGAGGAGGAGGAGUCGGCGGUGACGGUGAAGGGGACCCUGACAGCACCAGUCAUGGAGGGAUCUCGUCAGUCACUGUCAGUCCCGUGGACGCUCAUUUGGCCGAGUUGCAGCACUACAUGCAGAGAGAGGCCGACGCGUUGGUGCUGGCCAAAGAUGUGGUGAAGCAGCUGGACGGGAUCUCAUCGCUGGACCAGAAGGCGCUGGCUGAGGUGAGACAGGAGACGGGAGACGGUCCGCUGACACUGCUGCGUGAACAAACAUCUGUUCAGAUGGAAGUGUGUUCGAUCCGUUCACAUCCAUCACAGUAUCACUGCUGAUCCUA
ensembl:lncRNA